CUAUCCCCACUCUAGGUGAUACUAAGUAUCUGCCUCUAUCCCCACUCUAUGUGAUACUAAGUAUCUGCCUCUAUCCCCACUCUAGGUGAUACUAAGUAUCUGCCUAUAUCCCCACUCUAGGUGAUACUAAGUAUCUGCCUCUAUCCCCACUCUAGGUGAUACUAAGUAUCUGUCUAUAUCCCCACUCUAGGUGAUACUAAGUAUCUGCCUCUAUCUACACUCUAGGUGAUACUAAGUAUCUGCCUAUAUCCCCACUCUAGGUGAUACUAAGUAUCUGCCUCUAUCUACACUCUAGGUGAUACUAAGUAUCUGCCUCUAUCUACACUCUAGGUAAUACUAAGUAUCUGGCUCUAUCUCCACUCUAUGUGAUACUAAGUAUCUGCCUCUAUCUACACUCUAGGUUAUACUAAGUAUCUGCCUCUAUCUCCACUCUAGGUGAUACUAAGUAUCUGCCCAUAUCCCCACUCUAGGUGAUACUAAGUAUCUGCCUCUAU